rnacentral:rRNA from 1 species
AUUGAACGCUGGCGGCAUGCUUUACACAUGCAAGUCGAACGGUAACAGGCCGCAAGGUGCUGACGAGUGGCGAACGGGUGAGUAAUGCAUCGGAACGUGCCCAGUCGUGGGGGAUAACUACUCGAAAGAGUAGCUAAUACCGCAUACGAUCUAUGGAUGAAAGCGGGGGACCGUAAGGCCUCGCGCGAUUGGAGCGGCCGAUGUCAGAUUAGGUAGUUGGUGGGGUAAAGGCUCACCAAGCCAACGAUCUGUAGCUGGUCUGAGAGGACGACCAGCCACACUGGGACUGAGACACGGCCCAGACUCCUACGGGAGGCAGCAGUGGGGAAUUUUGGACAAUGGGCGCAAGCCUGAUCCAGCAAUGCCGCGUGCAGGAAGAAGGCCUUCGGGUUGUAAACUGCUAUUGUACGGAACGAAACGGCUCUGGUUAAUACCCGGGGCUAAUGACGGUACCGUAAGAAUAAGCACCGGCUAACUACGUG